GACGGGGCCCGCACAAGCGGUGGAGCAGUGUGGUUUAAUUCGAAGCAACGCGCAGAACCUUACCAGCCCUUGACAUCCGGUAUCGGUCCUCGAGAGAUUGAGGACUUCCCUUCGGGGAGGCCGAGACAGGUGCUGCAUGGCUGUCGUCAGCUCGUGUCGUGAGAUGUUGGGUUAAGUCCCGCAACGAGCGCAACCCCAUCGUCAGUUGCCAGCAUUCAGUUGGGCACUCUGGCGAAACCGCCGGCGCCAAGCCGGAGGAAGGCGGGGAUGACGUCAAGUCCUCAUGGCCCUUAUGGGCUGGGCUACACACGUGCUACAAUGGCGGUGACAGUGGGACGCGAAACCGCGAGGUGGAGCAAAUCCCCAAAAGCCGUCUCAGUUCGGAUUGCACUCUGCAACUCGAGUGCAUGAAGUUGGAAUCGCUAGUAAUCGCGGAUCAGCACGCCGCGGUGAAUACGUUCCCGGGCCUU
rnacentral:rRNA from 1 species